GUCAUAUAAUGCAGUCGAGCGAACUGAUUAGAAGCUUGCUUCUAUGACGUUAGCGGCGGACGGGUGAGUAACACGUGGGCAACCUGCCUGUAAGACUGGGAUAACUUCGGGAAACCGAAGCUAAUACCGGAUAGGAUCUUCUCCUUCAUGGGAGAUGAUUGAAAGAUGGUUUCGGCUAUCACUUACAGAUGGGCCCGCGGUGCAUUAGCUAGUUGGUGAGGUAACGGCUCACCAAGGCAACGAUGCAUAGCCGACCUGAGAGGGUGAUCGGCCACACUGGGACUGAGACACGGCCCAGACUCCUACGGGAGGCAGCAGUAGGGAAUCUUCCGCAAUGGACGAAAGUCUGACGGAGCAACGCCGCGUGAGUGAUGAAGGCUUUCGGGUCGUAAAACUCUGUUGUUAGGGAAGAACAAGUACAAGAGUAACUGCUUGUACCUUGACGGUACCUAACCAGAAAGCCACGGCUAACUACGUGCCAGCAGCCGCGGUAAUACGUAGGUGGCAAGCGUUAUCCGGAAUUAUUGGGCGUAAAGCGCGCGCAGGCGGUUUCUUAAGUCUGAUGUGAAAGCCCACGGCUCAACCGUGGAGGGUCAUUGGAAACUGGGGAACUUGAGUGCAGAAGAGAAAAGCGGAAUUCCACGUGUAGCGGUGAAAUGCGUAGAGAUGUGGAGGAACACCAGUGGCGAAGGCGGCUUUUUUGGUCUGUAACUGACGCUGAGGCGCGAAAGCGUGGGGAGCAAACAGGAUUAGAUACCCUGGUAGUCCACGCCGUAAACGAUGAGUGCUAAGUGUUAGAGGGUUUUCCGCCCUUUUAGUGCUGCAGCUAACGCAUUAAGCACUCCGCCUGGGGGAGUACGGUUCGCAAGACUGAAACUCAAAGGAAUUGACGGGGGCCCGCACAAGCGGUGGAGCAUGUGGUUUAAUUCGAAAGCAACGCGAAGAACCUUACCAGGUCUUGACAUCCUCUGACAACUCUAGAGAUUGAGCCGUUCCCCUUCGGGGGACAGAGUGACAGGUGGUGCAUGGUGUCGUCAGCUC
rnacentral:rRNA from 1 species